rnacentral:rRNA from 1 species
UACAGAGGUCUCAAGCGUUGUUCGGAUUCAUUGGGCGUAAAGGGUGCGUAGGCGGCUUGUCACGUCGGGUGUGAAAGCCCGGGGCUUAACCCCGGGUCUGCAUUCGAUACGGGCUAGCUAGAGUGUGGUAGGGGAGAUCGGAAUUCCUGGUGUAGCGGUGAAAUGCGCAGAUAUCAGGAGGAACACCGGUGGCGAAGGCGGAUCUCUGGGCCAUUACUGACACUGAUGCGCGACAGCGUGGGGAGCAAACAGG